rnacentral:rRNA from 1 species
UAACCUGCCCAAGAGAUCGGGAUAACACCUGGAAACAGAUGCUAAUACCGGAUAACAACAGAUGAUGCCUAUCAACUGUUUAAAAGAUGGUUCUGCUAUCACUCUUGGAUGGACCUGCGGUGCAUUAGCUAGUUGGUAGGGUAACGGCCUACCAAGGAGAUGAUGCAUAGCCGAGUUGAGAGACUGAUCGGCCACAUUGGGACUGAGACACGGCCCAAACUCCUACGGGAGGCAGCAGUC